ensembl:lncRNA
AGAGAUAAAGAUGAUGGAUGCAGAACAUGAGAAUGCCACUAUGUCAAGGAGACUGGAAGAGAAGAGUAUGAGUGCUCUGGAAGAAGAGGAGAGGAGGAGGGUAAAGGAGGAAGUUGGGACAGAAAUGGUGAAAGGACAUCCCUCCUCUGCAGAAAAGUUAGACCCUGAUGAUAAAAUCUUGAGAAUCGCUGAAGAAUGUGAAAAAGAAGGAAAGAAAGGCAGGAAUAAAGAUCACCUCUCUCCCAUCGUGGAAAAGUCAAAACCUUUGGCACCAUUACAAGACAUGUGCAAGCAUCAGCUAGAUGAUGGUUCUAAUGCAGCAAUGAGGAAGCAAAAGAAAAAGGCAAAAGACACAAGAAAAAGAAACAAACACGCUGAAAAAAGGAAAUACAACGAGGUAAAAAGAUUGGAAAUGGACAGGGACACAACGGAGAAGGAGAACAAGAAGAUGGUUGAAGAAAAAAAGAAAGCCGAGCUGAUUAAGAGACUGGAGGAGGAGAGACUGAAGGCUUUGGCAGAAGUGAUAGAAAUGUUGAAAGCAAAAAAAGCGUAUCGAAUGUAAACACUAUCGGAAGGGCCUUCUUCUGGACAAGAUAAUCAGAGACCUGAGACCAAUGACAUCAUUCCAGAUACUCACUUCACACAGUAUUAUAUUUGAUCUUCUUUCACAUUCUUUUUUUUCAAGUGACAGCUAUUUUUGACAAUUUGCCUUGAAGACACCCUAUAAUGAAAUAAACAAAUAAAGUAAGUUUGAGCCAAAAGGUAGUUUUAGUGUCAUGUUUUAAAUAUGACCAGAACAGAGCACAGAAUUCAAUAGAGUCAGAUGUCAUUAGACAUCCCAAUCCAAAGUCAAAAUCCAAUCCAAAAAAGAUAUCAACCUAGAGCAAAUAAUAAAUCAAUGAGGAUUCAGGAAUCAUAGUAAAAAGGGCCAGACAAAAGUCUGAAUAAACCAGAACACAAGACCUCACAAAGACAGAGAAAAGAGAAGUUUAAAUACACUGGCAGACAAGGAAUAGGUGAAGACCAUUGACAUGACAAGGUGAGCGGAAGAGUCCAUUAGAGAGGAGAGGGGAGCAAUGAGUUUCAGUAAGCAAAACUUGGUUUAAUGUUAUUGAUACGAUCAUGGACGGAUUAUGAAACCAUGUAAAAGGCCUUGACUUGACUUGACUUGACUAUAUAAUUUUGUUAUAGAUUGCUAUUGACUAUUUCCCUCCCCCAAAAUAAUGAAAACCAUGAUAGAGAUAGGUUUGCCAUUUCGAGGGGAUAUAUAGCAUAAGGUACUCUUUAAGUUGUAUUAUAAUUCAUCUUUGAUCACAGACGUGUUACAAAACGACGCUGUCAAACAGCCACCUCCGAGAAACGUAUCGACAGUGGUCCCACUUUGCCCACGGGCUCCAGUGCAACCGCUCUGCCUGCGCAAUUUUUUGUCUUUUACACCCCUG